rnacentral:misc_RNA from 1 species
GAUGAGAACGCAGCGAAAUGCGAUAAGUAAUGCGAAUUGCAGAAUUCAGUGAGUCAUCGAAUCUUUGAACGCACAUUGCGCCCUGUGGUAUUCCGCAGGGCAUGCCUGUUCGAGCGUCAUUUCAACCCUCAAGCCUCGCUUGGUGUUGGGCCCUGCCCGCCGCGGCCGGCCCUAAAGAUAGUGGCGGCGCCGCCUGGCCCUCAGCGUAGUACAGCUCUCGCUCCAGGGUCCGGCGGCAGCCUGCCAGAACCCCCCAACUCUGUGGUUGACCUCGGAUCAGGUAGGGAUACCCGCUGAACUUAAGCAUAUCAAUAAGCGGAGGA